rnacentral:ncRNA from 1 species
CAAAGAUUUGGUCCUAGCCUUACUGUUAUUUUUUGCUAAACUUACACAUGCAAGUAUCAACACACCAGUGAGAAUGCCCUGACAGUCCAACCAGACAAAAGGAGCCGGUAUCAGGCACACCAUGAUAGCCAAAAACACCUAGCUUUGCCACACCCCCAAGGGUACUUCAGCAGUGACAAAAAUUAAGCAAUAAACGAAAGUUUGACUUAGUUAUAGCAAACAGAGUUGGUCAAUCCUGUGCCAGCCACCGCGGUUAUACAGGAAACUCAAGCUAACAGAAAAUCGGCGUAAAAUGUGACUAAAAUUGCAAUCUAAAAAAUUAAGGUAGCCCCACCACUUAACUGUCAUACGUAAAAGUAUACAUUACCCCACUAUGAAAGUAACCCUAACGUAACAGAACCAUUUGAAUUCACGAUCGCUAAGGCACAAACUGGGAUUAGAUACCCCACUAUGCUUAGCCCUAAACUUAGAUAUUUAACAUACAAAAAUAUCCGCCAGAGAACUACGAGCAAAACGCUUAAAACUCUAAGGACUUGGCGGUACCUCAAAUCCCCCUAGAGGAGCCUGUUCUAUAAUCGAUAAUCCACGAUACACCUCACCAUCCCUUGCUAAUCCCGCCUAUAUACCACCGUCACCAGCUUACCCCAUGAGGGACAUAUAAAGCAAGCAAAAUAGCUAAAAAGCUAAUAAGUCAGGUCAAGGUGUAGCUAACUGAGAUGGAAGAAAUGGGCUACAUUUUCUACCUUAGAAAUUAAUUUUACGGAAGGAAACUAUGAAACUAGUCCUACAAGUAGGAUUUAGCAGUAAACCUGGAUCAGAAUGCCUAGUUUAAGCCGGUCCUGAGGUGCGCACACACCGCCCGUCACCCUCCUCAAAUAACAACAACCUCUAAAUAAUCAACAACAAACAAAUAGAUGAGGUAAGUCGUAACAAGGUAAGUAUACCGGAAGGUGUACUUGGAACAUU